UACGGAGGAUGCGAGCGUUAUCCGGAUUUAUUGGGCUUAAAGGGUGCGCAGGCGGCACGGCAAGCCGGCGGUCAAAUCGCGGGGCUCAACCCCGCCCAGCCGUCGGAACUGCCGGGCUAGAGUGGGCGAGAAGUGCGCGGAAUGCGUGGUGUAGCGGUGAAAUGCAUAGAUAUCACGCAGAACUCCGAUUGCGAAGGCAGCGCACCGGCGCCCUACUGACGCUCAGGCACGAAAGCGUGGGUAUCGAACAGG
rnacentral:rRNA from 1 species